AGAGGAGCCUGUCCUAUAAACGAUACCCCACGCUAAACCUCACCUCUCCUGGCCCCACAGCCUAUAUACCGCCGUCGUCAGCUCACCUCAUGAAAGCCCAAGAGUAAGCAUAACCGUCCAACACAAAAACGUCAGGUCAAGGUGUAGCUAAUGUCAGAGGAAAGAGAUGGGCUACAUUUCCUGAAAUAGGAACACAAAAAACAUUAUGAAACAGUGCCCACAGGUGGAUUUAGAAGUAGACCGGACAAGAAAUCCAAUCGAACCCCGUCAUG
rnacentral:rRNA from 1 species